rnacentral:rRNA from 1 species
CCUACGGGAGGCAGCAGUGGGGAAUAUUGCACAAUGGGCGAAAGCCUGAUGCAGCGACGCCGCGUGAGGGAUGACGGCCUUCGGGUUGUAAACCUCUUUCAGCAGGGACGAAGCGCAAGUGACGGUACCUGCAGAAGAAGCACCGGCUAACUACGUGCCAGCAGCCGCGGUAAUACGUAGGGUGCAAGCGUUGUCCGGAAUUACUGGGCGUAAAGAGUUCGUAGGCGGUUUGUCGCGUCGUUUGUGAAAACCAGCAGCUCAACUGCUGGCUUGCAGGCGAUACGGGCAGACUUGAGUACUGCAGGGGAGACUGGAAUUCCUGGUGUAGCGGUGAAAUGCGCAGAUAUCAGGAGGAACACCGGUGGCGAAGGCGGGUCUCUGGGCAGUAACUGACGCUGAGGAACGAAAGCGUGGGUAGCGAACAGGAUUAGAUACCCUAG